GACGAACGCUGGCGGCGUGCUUAACACAUGCAAGUCGAACGGAAAGGCCCUGCUUUUGUGGGGUGCUCGAGUGGCGAACGGGUGAGUAACACGUGAGUAACCUGCCCUUGACUUUGGGAUAACUUCAGGAAACUGGGGCUAAUACCGGAUAGGAGCUCCUGCUGCAUGGUGGGGGUUGGAAAGUUUCGGCGGUUGGGGAUGGACUCGCGGCUUAUCAGCUUGUUGGUGGGGUAGUGGCUUACCAAGGCUUUGACGGGUAGCCGGCCUGAGAGGGUGACCGGCCACAUUGGGACUGAGAUACGGCCCAGACUCCUACGGGAGGCAGCAGUGGCGAAUAUUGCACAAUGGGCGGAAGCCUGAUGCAGCAACGCCGCGUGCGGGAUGACGGCCUUCGGGCUGUAAACCGCUUUCGCCUGUGACGAAGCGUGAGUGACGGUAAUGGGUAAAGAAGCACCGGCUAACUACGUG
rnacentral:rRNA from 1 species